CAAGCGCUUCAUCUCUUUCUCCACCCACGCACACCUACAUGCACACAAACAAGAGGAAAAGGAAACCUACAGGCGAAACAUUCCCUGGUCUAAAUUGUUUAGUUCUUCACCGUUUCCAAAUUUCAGCUCCAUGGACGCCGGUGCUCUAUCUUGAUGAUUUAGGCGAUCCAUGUUCGAGUCCUUGCGCCAAAAUAUUCUGCUCCAUGCCGCAGCUCCAUUCAAAGAAGAAACAACGUGUUCCGUCGAGCAUACGCGGAGAAUUUUGCAAGGAGUGACGAUAUCGAUGUUGGACAUGGACAGAACAGGUUACUAAAGAAGGACUCAACAACGAAGGCAUGCCUCCUUUUUUGAUCAUACUUAUCCUAUGUUUACAAAAUUGCAUUGUGUUUUAUGGUUAUUAUAUGCAUGCUAUUUUAAUUCUUGUAGCUAGCAUGUCGAUUGACACAUUACCUUGAUCCACUAGUCUUCUAUUCAUUUGACACCUGAGUAGAAUUAUAGUAUUCUUGUAGAGUAGAAAUGCUUAGCCAUGCUUAUUACCCUAUAGGUGCUUUGUUGAAUGACAUCUGAGUCAUUGACAGUUGAAACUUACCGCUGAGCUAGGCCAGAUGGCCUUAUUGAUAUCCUCUACUCUCUUCUACUCUGGGUGAAACUUACCAUCCGAAUACUGGCGCGGGCGACAGCUGAAUCAAGGAUUGAAGGAGCGAUUGGCUGCCCUU